GGCCGCAUGGCGAAAUUCGGCAAACGCGCCAGUUUUGGGUACUGGUGGGCGCGUUCGCCCUUUCGGGUUCGACUCCCGGCGCGGCCA
rnacentral:tRNA from 1 species